UACUUUUCCAAAUCUAGCUUAGCUGUGUUUUAAAAUAUCUCCUUUGACUUCUCACUGUUUUAGUUUUCCCUGGGCCUGCAAACAUGUGAAUGUGAAAACAAUUCUCGCGGAAUGGAUUUUAUGACUGUAGCCAAAGGCAGCCUCUGACCGAGUGGUAAGGACAAAAGGAUAUGGAAUUGUUUUCCACAUGUUUGGUGAGGGGAAGAAAAAGAAAAAAUGAAUAUGCGAAACAAGUGUGAAUAAAUGAACAAGAUACAUAAAAGUUAUAGAAUCUACAUGAUGAUUGAGAUGUGCAGAUGGAUAGACUGUAGGAAGAAAAAAGGGCAGCUCUAAAAUAUAGAGAAUGAACAGACUUACUGCUGAAAAACAAGUGAAUGAUGAAAAUUGAGAAAAUUUGUAGUAAUGAUUAGACAAUAUGGAGUAAAGUAUCUACUUUUAUUAGAGAAAAUUUUCUUCUAAGGACAAUUGCUCUUAUCUGAGAAGAAAACAUACACCAGCUGAACUUGGAAAUUUCCUUUUUGUCUUAUAAUGUAAUAGCAUCAACGUAUCACGUUUUUCUUAAAACUGUGUAUUUGUAUUAAUAUGUUGCAAUUUGAAAAUAACCUUCACAUGUAAUUUUUUUCAUAUAAUCUCUGUGAUUUAUGUAAGGCAAAUAUUAUCCUUAUUUUGUAAAUAAAAACACCCAACAUUA